rnacentral:lncRNA from 1 species
GCGCUUUCCAGAGCCUUGGAGGAAACGAACGGGAGACAAACCGUGGUGCUACUGGGCUCCUGAGCCUUCAGAAUUCAUUUCUGCCGGGAAGAAAUGUUUUUCUCAUGACACAAAACUCAGAAGAGCUGCAGAACAGAAAACGUGUGAGUGUCUGUCAUCUGAGCACAGUCUGACAGAAAUGGCUCUCCCCUCCUCUUCUGGGGAGAAAGGUUUGUCAUAUUUGAAAGAAACAACGGAUCAGUAUAAAUAUACUUUUUUAGGUAAAAACAACCACUUGUGCUUGUGAAUACAGAAUCCUCUCCUGCCUUCCUGCAGGGCCAGCUCACCUGCAAUUACAGAAGGAUCGCAGACCAGGAGCAGACUGUCAGGUCACAGAGCAUCUUAUCUAUGAUUUUUGUUCAGGAGGAAAUUGAAGAAGGGACAGAACACAAAACAGCCUCAUUGCUCUGUUGAUUAACAAGGGGAGCUGGGCCUCCGAACCCCUGACCCCACUCUUCGGACUUGGUGCAAGAGAGAAAGGGAGCUGGACGUUCAGGAGAGGUCUAGGCAGACGUUGGCCAAGUGUGGAGUACUGGCUUUCGUAUAACUUAGAUAUCAGCUACCAAUAGAAAAAAACAGAUUCAAGGAUUAAUCAAAGCCUAAUAAAAUCCAUUUCAAACCACUGCAGUGCAGGGUCGAG